rnacentral:lncRNA from 1 species
GCAGGAAACGAGCCCCAUUUUCGUUACCUUCGAUCGCCGGCCCCCCCGCUGCUUCUCGCGGCCGCAUCGGGGGCUGCGGCGGCGCUGCACUCGCGGUGGCCCCGCCGCCGGGUCGCGCCGUCCCCCGGCCGAGCUGCCUCCGCUCGCGGCCGGAACCCCGGCUCCAGCCCCGCGCCCGCCCGGGGUCGGCGGCGCGGCUCCCACCCGGGCCCGGGCCCUGCUGGGUCCUAGCGCGCGCCGCCGCCGCCCGCGGCCGGGCUGCAGCCCGCACGUACGGCGGGCAGCUCGCGAGCACGGUGACUGCCCGGGAAAACCGAAAAAGCCGUCAGCCUCUUUCCAAACUGGACGCUGGAGGUGCAGAGGAACUGGAGCUUAAUGUCAAAUCCUGGCAGAAGAUGUCGAAAGAAAAACACUGGCUCCCACUGAACUCACGGAAGGCGGAUGUUCGUAUCUGCAGCCCCAGGGUAACGCGGCGGGCAGUAACUGGUUCCCGUAGCUUCGCCCCGUGCGCUUGUGAUAUUGUACGUUCACAGACGCUCCUAAGGAAGAGGCUAAGCUUGGCAGCAUCUUUGGAAGAUGUGGAUGACUUUCCUGGGGAACUACUUGGAAAGAUUAAUGCAAAACUCACUGGAUGAAGGGGCUGGCCCUGUGGCCGAGUGGUUAAGAUCACGCGCUCUGCUUCAGCGGCCCGGAGUUCACUGGUUCAGAUCCUGAGUGCAGACCUGAGCACCACUCAUCAAGCCAUGCUGAGGUGGCGUCCCACAAAGAAGAAUUAGAAGGACCUACAACUAGAAUAUACAACUAUGUACUGGGGCUUUGGGGUGGGGGAGGGGGGAAGAGGAAGAUUGGCAACAGAUGUUAGCUUAGGGCCAAUCUUCCUCACCAGAAAGUAUACUUUAAAAAAAACUUUCUAGAUGAGUUAAUGUGAUCCUUUCAGUGAAAACUGGUCUAAUUACUUUAUAGUCGUAUCAUCCAUUUGGCCUUUAAAUGUGACAAAUGCCAGAUUUGAAGGAAUCUUAGCACCAAUAGGAAGUGAUGAGAAGCUCAAAAGAAAUGCUGGUGGUGAACCAUUUCUCAAGUUAGAGCACACCAGAAGAGGUACUGGUCAAAAGAAACUGUCAUUCAUUCAUUCAUUCAGUUGUGUAUAUCUCAGUCAUCAAAAACCUGAUAUGAGUACAGCACUGUUCUAGGCUCUGCAUAUGAACAUUAAGUAAUGCCCUCAAAGCACUCCUUGUCAUACGGAGCCCCCGGAAAGGCAAACAGUUGCAGAGCAGUGGUGUAAAUACUGCAGCAAAACCAUGUCACAGGUGCACUGUGUUGAAAUGCCCACUAGCCCGGAUCUUGGCCAGUUUGUCUUUAGAGCCGUUCUCUGCCCUGCCCUCUGCUCUGUGUUGCUAGGGGCUGACUCUAGCAGGCUGAGUUUCACAGACUCCUGAAUCCAUUGGCCAAUGGCUGGGUAUGGUCAAUGGGAGGCACUGGAGGGAGAGUGCAAGUGGGAAGAAAGGAGAAGCCGGGGAAUUUCUUCACCUCCCUCUUGCCUCUGGUAGCAUCUCCAGUAGUGGCUGGAUCUGGCUGAGGCUCCUGCCAGGUGACCCAGCCCCUGGCUUAGGUAACACCACCACUUCCUGUUAACUCUCCAGUUUAGGGAUGUUAAUGGCUUUCUGCUGAAAUUACUUUUGGGGUAGCUUCACCUUCCUCUGUUUGCAUCUCACAUCCUCCAUCACCUGUGUGAGCAAUCCCCUGUGUUAAAUUCCUUCUGUGCAUAUCAGCAGAUUCCAAGGGAAGGGCAUCUUACAAAAGGCCUGGGAAGUACUCCUCAAAACUAUCUAGAUCAUUGGGGCUGGCCCCGUGGCCGAGUGGUUAAGUUCGUGCACUCUGCUGCAGGCGGCCCAGUGUUUCGUUGGUUCGAAUCCUGGGCGCGGACAUGGCACUGCUCAUCAAACCACACUGAGGCAGCGUCCCACAUGCCACAACUAGAAGGACCCACAACGAAGAAUAUACAACUAUGUACCGGGGGGCUUUGGGGAGAAAAAGGAAAAAAUAAAAUCUUUAAAAAAAAAAAAAACUAUCUAGAUCAUUAAAAACCAGGACAUGAUGGAGAAACCGUUACAGCAAAGAGGAACUCAAGGAGAAAUGACAAUUAAAUGUAUUGUAUGCUGGAUGGGAUCCUGGGACCGAAAAAGGACAUCAGGUAAAAACUAAGGAAAUCCGAAUAAAGUGUGGACUUUAGCUAGUAAUAAAGUAUGAAUAUUGGUUCAUUAAUUAUAACAAAUGUACCAUCCAUUCACAGGUAUGAUGUUUGUAAUAGGGGAAAUUGGGUAUGACGCAUGAGGGAACUCUCUGUACUAUUUUCUCAAUUUUUCUGUAAAUCUAAAACUCUUAUAAAAAAU